UCUCUAGUCGAUAGAUAUGUAGUAAGGGAAGUCGGCAAAUUAGAUCCGUAACUUCGGGAUAAGGAUUGGCUCUGAAGAUUGAGAUAGUCGGGCUUGAUUGGGAAACAAUAACAUGGUUUAUGUGCUCGUUCUGGGUAAAUAGAGUUUCUAGCAUUUAUGUUAGUUACUUGUUCCCCGGAUAGUUUAGUUACGUAGCCAAUUGUGGAACUUUCUUGCUAAAAUUUUUAAGAAUACUAUUUGGGUUAAACCAAUUAGUUCUUAUCAAUUAUAACGAUUAUCAAUUAACAAUCAAUUCAGAACUGGCACGGACUUGGGGAAUCCGACUGUCUAAUUAAAACAAAGCAUUGUGAUGGCCCUAGCGGGUGUUGACACAAUGUGAUUUCUGCCCAGUGCUCUGAAUGUCAAAGUGAAGAAAUUCAAGUAAGCGCGGGUCAACGGCGGGAGUAACUAUGACUCUCUUAAGGUAGCCAAAUGCCUCGUCAUCUAAUUAGUGACGCGCAUGAAUGGAUUAACGAGAUUCCUACUGUCCCUAUCUACUAUCUAGCGAAACCACAGCCAAGGGAACGGGCUUGGAAUAAUUAGCGGGGAAAGAAGACCCUUUUGAGCUUGACUCUAAUCUGGCAGUGUAAGGAGACAUAAGAGGUGUAGAAUAAGUGGGAGAUAUUAGACCUCGGUUUGGUAUCGUCAAUGAAAUACCACUACUCUUAUUGUUUCCUUACUUACUUGAUUAAAUGGAACGUGUAUCAUUUCCUAGCCAUUAUACGGAUAUAUUUAUUAUAUCUUAUGGUAUUGGGGUUUGAUGCAAGCUUCUUGAUCAAAGUAUCACGAGUUUGUUAUAUAAUCGCAAACAAAUUCUUAUAAAACGAUGCAUUUAUGUAUUUUUGAUUUGAAAAUUUGGUAUAACUCCAAUUACUCAGGUAUGAUCCAAUUCAAGGACAUUGCCAGGUAGGGAGUUUGACUGGGGCGGUACAUCUCUCAAAUAAUAACGGAGGUGUCCCAAGGCCAGCUCAGUGCGGACAGAAACCACACAUAGAGCAAAAGGGCAAAUGCUGACUUGAUCUCGGUGUUCAGUACACACAGGGACAGCAAAAGCUCGGCCUAUCGAUCCUUUUGGUUUAAAGAGUUUUUAACAAGAGGUGUCAGAAAAGUUACCAUAGGGAUAACUGGCUUGUGGCGGCCAAGCGUUCAUAGCGACGUCGCUUUUUGAUCCUUCGAUGUCGGCUCUUCCUAUCAUUGUGAAGCAAAAUUCACCAAGCGUUGGAUUGUUCACCCAUGCAAGGGAACGUGAGCUGGGUUUAGACCGUCGUGAGACAGGUUAGUUUUACCCUACUAAUGACAAAACGUUGUUGCGACAGCAUUCCUGCGUAGUACGAGAGGAACCGCAGGUACGGACCAAUGGCACAAUACUUGUUCGAGCGAACAGUGGUAUGACGCUACGUCCGUUGGAUUAUGCCUGAACGCCUCUAAGGUCGUAUCCGUGCUGGACUGCAAUGAUAAAUAAGGGGCAAUUUGCAUUGU
rnacentral:rRNA from 1 species